UGAGGAAUAUUGGUCAAUGGGCGAGAGCCUGAACCAGCCAAGUCGCGUGAAGGAAGACAGUCCUAAGGAUUGUAAACUUCUUUUAUACGGGAAUAACGGGCGAUACGAGUAUUGCAUUGAAUGUACCGUAAGAAUAAGCAUCGGCUAACUCCGUGCCAGCAGCCGCGGUAAUACGGAGGAUGCGAGCGUUAUCCGGAUUUAUUGGGUUUAAAGGGUGCGUAGGUUGUUCGGUAAGUCAGCGGUGAAACCUGAGUGCUCAACGUUCAGCCUGCCGUUGAAACUGCCGGGCUUGAGUUCAGUGGCGGCAGGCGGAAUUCGUGGUGUAGCGGUGAAAUGCAUAGAUAUCACGAGGAACUCCGAUUGCGAAGGCAGCUUGCCAUACUGCGACUGACACUGAAGCACGAAGGCGUGGGUAUCAAACAGG
rnacentral:rRNA from 1 species